rnacentral:rRNA from 1 species
UACGAGGGGGGCGAGCGUUGUUCGGAAUUAUUGGGCGUAAAGGGUGCGUAGGCGGUUCCGCAAGUCCUGUGUGAAAUCUUCGGGCUCAACUCGAAGUCUGCACGGGAAACUGCGGGGCUUGAGUGUGGGAGAGGUGAGUGGAAUUCCCGGUGUAGCGGUGAAAUGCGUAGAUAUUGGGAGGAACACCAGUGGCGAAGGCGGCUCACUGGACCGGUUCUGACGCUGAAGCGCGAAAGCGUGGGGAGCAAACGGG